GUUGAAGAGUGGUGUAUAACCAGUUGAAGAGUAUGGUAUAAGCAGUUGAAGAGUGGUGUAUAACCAGUUGAAGUGUGGUAUAUAACCAGUUGAAGAGUGGUGUAUAACCAGUUGAAGAGGUGUUAACCUUGUGUAUUACGUGUAUGAUGUUGUUUAUAAUAAAAUUAAACUUUUUUUAUUCAGCACAUUUCUUACAGGGGAUGCAUUUCAAAGUGCUUAACAAAUAAAACAAUACAUGUUGAGAAAGAUUAAAACUAGACAAAUUAAAAUAGUAAAUCAGUGGACCUCAGAGACUAAUGAAUUAAAAUAAAUAGUACAAGAAAUUUGAAGU
rnacentral:lncRNA from 1 species